rnacentral:rRNA from 1 species
UACGAAGGGGGCUAGCGUUGUUCGGAAUUACUGGGCGUAAAGCGCGCGCAGGUGGUUUCUUAAGUCUGAUGUGAAAGCCCACGGCUCAACCGUGGAGGGUCAUUGGAAACUGGCGAGCUUGAGUGUGGCAGAGGGGGGUGGAAUUCCGCGUGUAGCAGUGAAAUGCGUAGAGAUGCGGAGGAACACCGAUGGCGAAGGCAGCCCCCUGGGCUGACACUGACGCUCAGGCACGAAAGCGUGGGGAGCAAACAGG